rnacentral:rRNA from 1 species
UACGGGGGGGGCAAGCGUUGUUCGGAAUUACUGGGCGUAAAGGGCUCGUAGGCGGCCAACUAAGUCGGAUGUGAAAUCCCCAAGCUUAACUUGGGAACUGCAUCCGAUACUGGAUGGCUUGAAUCCGGGAGAGGGAUGCAGAAUUCCAGGUGUAGCGGUGAAAUGCGUAGAUAUCUGGAGGAAUGCCGGUGGCGAAGGCGGCAUCCUGGACCGGCAUUGACGCUGAGGAGCGAAAGCUAGGGGAGCAAACGGG